rnacentral:rRNA from 1 species
AUUGAACGCUGGCGGCAUGCCUUACACAUGCAAGUCGAACGGUAACAGGUCUUCGGAUGCUGACGAGUGGCGAACGGGUGAGUAAUACAUCGGAACGUGCCUAGUAGUGGGGGAUAACUACUCGAAAGAGUGGCUAAUACCGCAUGAGAUCUACGGAUGAAAGCAGGGGAUCGCAAGACCUUGUGCUACUAGAGCGGCCGAUGGCAGAUUAGGUAGUUGGUGGGAUAAAAGCUUACCAGGCCGACGAUCUGUAGCUGGUCUGAGAGGACGAUCAGCCACACUGGGACUGAGACACGGCCCAGACUCCUACGGGAGGCAGCAGUGGGGAAUUUUGGACAAUGGGCGCAAGCCUGAUCCAGCAAUGCCGCGUGCAGGAUGAAGGCCUUCGGGUUGUAAACUGCUUUUGUACGGAACGAAAAGCCCUGGGUUAAUACCCUGGGGUCAUGACGGUACCGUAAGAAUAAGCACCGGCCAACUACGUGCCAGCAGCCGCAGUAACAC